rnacentral:rRNA from 1 species
CUUUUGCAAGUCAUAAAACCACUAGUGAAUAAGGGGUGGGCAAGUUCUGGUGUCAGCCGCCGCGGUAAAACCAGCACCUCAAGUGGUCAGGAGGAUUAUUGGGCCUAAAGCAUCCGUAGCCGGCUCUGUAAGUUUUCGGUUAAAUCCAUGUGCUCAACGCAUGGGCUGUCGAAAAUACUGCAUAGCUAGGGAGUGGGAGAGGUAGACGGUACUCGGUAGGAAGGGGUAAAAUCCUUUGAUCUAUCGAUGACCACCUGUGGCGAAGGCGGUCUACCAGAACACGUUCGACGGUGAGGGAUGAAAGCGGGGGGAGCAAACCGGAUUAGAUACCCGGGUAGUCCCAGCUGUAAACGAUGCAGACUCGAUGAUGCAUUGGCAUAUAGCCAGUGCAGUGUCGCAGGGAAGCCGUUAAGUCUGCCGCCUGGGAAGUACGUACGCAAGUAUGAAACUUAAAGGAAUUGGCGGGGGAGUACCACAAGGGGUGAAGCCUGCGGUUCAAUUGGAUUCAACGCCGGAAAUCACUAGUGAAUU